rnacentral:rRNA from 1 species
AGUGAACGCUGGCGGCGUGCUUAACACAUGCAAGUCGAACGAGAACGGAUUAUAGCUUGCUAUAAUUGUCAGCUAAGUGGCGCACGGGUGAGUAAUGUAUAGGUAAUAUGCCUCUUACUAAGGGAUAACAAAUGGAAACGUUUGCUAAUACCUUAUACUCCUUAUUAACAGAAGUUAAUAAGGGAAAGAUUUAUUGGUAAGAGAUUAGCCUGUAUUGUAUCAGUUAGUUGGUGGGGUAAUGGCUUACCAAGACUAUGACACAUAACUGGUUUGAGAGGAUGAUCAGUCACACUGGAACUGAGACACGGUCCAGACUCCUACGGGAGGCAGCAGUGGGGAAUAUUGCACAAUGGACGGAAGUCUGAUGCAGCAACGCCGCGUGGAGGAUGACACAUUUCGGUGCGUAAUCUCCUUUUAUAUGAGAAGAUAAUGACGGUAUUAUAUGAAAAAGCACCGGCUAACUCCGUGCCAGCCGCCGCCGUAACAC